AACGCACGAGACCUGCGGACUGCGGAGGGAUCAUUAGUGAACGCCCUCACGGGCUUAUAACUAUUCCAAACCUCUGUGAACCGUGCCCUUCGGGGCUAUUUUACAAACAUGGUGUAAUGAACGUCAUAUAUCAUAACAAAACAAAACUUUCAGCAACGGAUCUCU
rnacentral:misc_RNA from 1 species